GCGGGAAAAUUUGAUAGGAAA
rnacentral:snRNA from 1 species